UGCAUAUAUUCAAAAUCUCUCAGUCCUCCCCAGAAAGGCUUCUUUCUACGGUUCAUGGUGAUUAAUAAUACAGAGAUCCACACCUGCUCAAUGUGCAGAGGACAAUGCAGUAAUGUCCAUCAUUUAUAUACCAAUCCUGAGGACAGCCCAUCAUCACCAAUCCCGAGGCUUUAAGACUUCUGUCUCAUGCUUCUCCCUGAAGAUAUGAAUUAUUAAAUAAAAAUCUCAGUGCCA